GCGAAUAUGUUUGAUCUGUGAAACCCCAAAGUUGUUUAGAGAUGUGUAAUAGUCAAAAGUUUGCCCAUUUGUCACAGGAAAGCAGCUGCUUAUAAACGAAAUGCCAUGCAUCAGUUUAAUGUCUUAUUCGGCUGACAGUAAAUAGCUCUACAGCGUAUCCGGGAAUGACUUCACCGGUUUCAACUGACACUUCAGCAUACAUUACCCACAUCUGAAGUUGGUGGCCAUCCAGCAGCUUAUCCACUACCUUUGUUCCGCUGAAAAAGGCAUAAAGAUGCAUGGCUCAUUAAGGACUAAAGUGAAUGCGUAAUACAAGAUUCGUCCUUCAUUUUCAAACUCAAGGUUCCGCUGGCUGAUGUUCAGCGACCGAAGGUGCAACAUUUAUCUCUCGCAAUCUUACUGCCAAUCCUAAGGUUACUUUAUAGGAUACUUCAGUCCGGAUGACAGAGGCAUGAGAUGUGCUUCACUCACUGGCUACGGAUAUUCAAAAGAAUAUUCUGCAUUUUAGAAUGUGGAUGUUAGUCGUAAUCUCUUCCUGAGCCCAACGAACUUCCAAAAUCAAAGUCUGGAAGAAGGAAUUUAUUACUCGCAAGUUGUUUUCAGUCUAGAAAAAUUUAUGGCAUAAAUUCUUUUGUGAAUAACUGAAUACGUGGAAGAAACAGCUUGCCAUGGGUGAUGUAUUUUUCAUUUAAAUUAACUUUAUUUAACCUGGAAAGUAUUUUGAGAACUUUUGGAGCAAGUUCACAAUAUUUUAUGUCGUUAGCUAAAAUUAAAAUACUAGCCCAUACCCAUAAAAUCAACUUAUGAUCUUGAAUCAGAUAAAAAUCGCAUAUUAACGGUGCAUUUAAAGUAUCUUUUAUUAAAACUUGUUUUUCAAGUCGCAAAAUCCAAGCAAAACCUCAAAUUAAGCAAUCCUCAGGUUGAGCGUACGCCGUAAUUAAAAAUAUGAAAACUAAUUACAGAAAUUCUAAACUUAAUUUGAUUACUAGAUCGCGUAAAUACAAGAAAAAUAUUUGUCGAGCUCUUCCAUCAUUGCACAAUCUUGAAUAUCACAUUCGAUGACAGAAUUUGAUUAAAUUUUUACAGAAAUGAAGUUUUGAAUGUGAAAGCCUGUUAGCCACUUUGAUAAGUGCAUCUCUUUGCACCUCGAUUAAACAUCUUUAUGCCUGAGGCAAAUGCAUCAGUGUCCGUCAGAUAUCAAGAGGCAAUUGUUUCUCUUGAAAUAGCAAUGAAUUAUACUUCACAAGUAAUAUUCACAUAUUCUUACACAAUUAGUAUAUUAAAAAGGAUGCGAAAUAGGCUUGUCUAAUUCUCUCGUCUAAAUAAACUAAAAAUAUUUGGAGGAAAUCUAUGAAAAUUUACUGGCCCAUUAAUAAUAGGUUCAAUUAAAGCAAUUUUCGGUAAGCAAUACCAACAAGUUAUUUUUUAGAUAUGAAUAUUUGGUGACAAUUUCGCGAAUAGUAAUUAGUCCGGGUAUAUCGAAUUGCAUUUUGAGUCGUCAGCUUAAAGCAUAAAGCGCGUUAAUAGGAGGGCAUAUUUCUAAACCAACACAAUCGGAUAUUGUAAGGCAAAACUCGACGCAGGUAUCUUUUCCGAAAUCCUGCAUGUAUUUUCUCCUAAAUGUAAUCUAAGUUUUAAUACUUCAGUGUUAACACAAAUUUCGAUAUAUAUCAAAUUAGAUUAGUUGAAAGCUCAAUCACAGAUGUUUAAAAAUCGGACUUUUCCAAUGUUGAAAGUAUGAAGCUAAGUUUCUUUAUAAUAAUGAAGUGCAAAUUUUAGGAGUAGACCCCGAGUUUUAAAAGAAAGGGUUUAAAUAUCAGGUGGGAUACUCUUAAGAAGUAUGGGGACACAUACUUCUUGAUAUGGAAAGUAAAGUUCAUUCCGAUUUAAAACGUUUAAUAUUUUACAGAACUAACCCUUAAUUCUGUUCCAUUUUCUUACUUUCAAUUAAUAAAUCGGGUCACAAGUUUUUCACUCAUAAAUGGAUUCGCGGAUAAUUUUAAACUUAGAAACACGGCUCCCAAAAGGAAAAGUAAAUCCUCAAUUAAGGUGUGAAGGAGGGAAAUGCGUCGUUUUUGAGCAACUUUUGCUUAUUUCGAGCAGAGUGGAGGGCGGGAUAGGUGCCAGCCGGCUGGUAAGAGGAUGGGAAUGCGAUUGCUGGUUUUGGUCUAAGAUAUUUACUUCCCCACUUCAUAUUAUAAAGAUGCUUAUCUUUACUUUCAGUUUUGGAAACAUAAAAACUCAAACUUUUAUAUAUUGUAAAGGAUAAUCUUUCAGUUUUCUAUCGCUGAUUUGUCAAUCUAUAAUUCCGUUCAUUAAUUGAAAUAUAAUUUACAAGAAACGUUAAUUUUUUUAAUAAACCUCGGUUUAUAUAUUACCAAUAUCUUGAUUAACCUUCAAAUCUUAGGAGAAUAUGCGUUUUUAAAAGAAGAUUAAGCAUCUCAAAUGAGAUACUUUGUAGGAGUUUCGUAGAUGUUUUUAUCCUGUAGGGUCUGAAUAUUCAUUCGAGAAUAGAAUAACUGGUUGGUAUUGCGUAGCCAAUUCGUUUGCACCGCAGUUUAACUACGCCAUUUUAUUGUUAAGCAUUAUUUUAAUACGAAUUUCAAACUUAAUUUAUUCAAACGUGAUUUUUAACGAAUGUCAAGCUGUCAGCUUGGAAUUUUGAAUAUUCAUCAGCCCCGAGUAUGGAUAAUCGAAUUGGAUAUUUUAAAGUUGAAUGUGUUAAGGAAGAUUAUAAAUAAAUCUUCACUGCAGUUGAAAUUCAAUAAACUUGAGGAUCUAGGCUAUUUUGAACACUUCAAUUCCUUAUUUGAAUCCCUCUUGAAAGAGUCGAAUUUUUCUGCAAAAUAACUUGUUGAAAUUUGCAUUGAAAUUUGAAGCAAAUUUCAGUUAUUAAAAAACACUAGAUUUGAUUAGCCUAAUUUUGUUUAUAAUCAAGCAGUGCAAAAGCAAUUCGAUUAUGUCUAUUUAAUUAAAAAAAUUAUUUACAAAUUUAAUUAAACAGACUUGGUAGGGUUGAACUGCUCCAGUAAAGUAUAUAAUGAAAUUCAUUAUGUUGUUGUGCUUAAUAUUCUAGCUUGUUCAUAGUACUUUAAUUUUUUUAAAUAUUGAAUUAAGUUUUUUUCUUCUGUGUCACUGCUUAUAUUAACCUCUAUUUGUAAUGCGUGUAAUAUGAAUUUAGUUACAUUCAGUGAGUCAUUAAUCACGACUGUACUUGGAAGUUGCAAACGUCUGUUUAAAUUUUAUGAAGUUGUUUGAAUAAGGUAAACUGUUCAAGAACUGAUUUAUGCAUAGACUUGUAUAAAAUGCUCAAACUGAGCGUAUUAAGGC